rnacentral:rRNA from 1 species
UACGUAGGGUCCAAGCGUUAAUCGGAAUUACUGGGCGUAAAGCGUGCGCAGGCGGUUGUGUAAGUCAGAUGUGAAAUCCCCGGGCUCAACCUGGGAAUUGCAUUUGAGACUGCACGGCUAGAGUGUGUCAGAGGGGGGUAGAAUUCCACGUGUAGCAGUGAAAUGCGUAGAGAUGUGGAGGAAUACCGAUGGCGAAGGCAGCCCCCUGGGAUAACACUGACGCUCAUGCACGAAAGCGUGGGGAGCAAACACG